CCAGGUACAGGUAGAGCGGCCGGUUCUUCUUGGACGUGGGUUUUGACUGGCGCUACUUGUGUGCCCUCGACUAGAGGCCUUCAGAACUGUCGCAGUUCGUUGUCCGCUUCCGGUACCGUAGGUGGCAGAGCAGUCGAUCCGGCCGCCUGGAGGCGGCUUUCGACCGCCUCUACUUGUGCCGGCUGGAGCGGCGCCCGGAGCCGGUGAAGUUCUUGGUCCGCCGCCGUCGCCAAAGGUGCGCGCUUCCGCGGCACUUUCGGCGCCGCUACCAGGAGCCCCCGCGGCACUCGUAGAUGAAGGAGACCGGGCGCCGGCGGCGGGGGCGGUGGUGGCCGCGGUACUACUUGCGCGGCCCGCGGCGGCCGAAGCAGUAUAGGGCGCACCGCAAGGACCGGUUCUCCGUCGAGAUGAAGGUGCAGGACGCGUGACGGCCGGGACAGCGGCGUCAGCGCCAAGAGCACAUCCCUACCUUCACUGCGUGCCUCCGUACCUGCGCUCGAUCGAUGCCACACAAAAGAAGUUCACACACGCGCUACAUGACAGAUCACCAUGAUCGUAAAGCCGCACGCCUGUACGUACCUCCUAAACAGUCGAUAGGUUACGUUGCACAUGUUAUUCGAGACGCGGAGACGGAUCGAUCACGAGCAUAAACGGGAACAAGAGGUCACAUAACAAGAUGUACUUCGUUGACAAACAGAUGCAUGAUGAAAACGGCCUUUUUAUAUGAUGAGGUAGGCAAGGAUUUAUAAACAGUAAGC
rnacentral:rRNA from 1 species